rnacentral:rRNA from 1 species
UUCAGAGACUAAGCGAAAGUGAUAAGUUAGCCACCUGGGGAGUACGAACGCAAGUUUGAAACUCAAAGGAAUUGACGGGGGCCCGCACAAGCGGUGGAUUAUGUGGUUUAAUUCGAUGAUACGCGAGGAACCUUACCAAGGCUUAAAUGGGAAUUGAUCGGUUUAGAAAUAGACCUUCCUUCGGGCAAUUUUCAAGGUGCUGCAUGGUUGUCGUCAGCUCGUGCCGUGAGGUGUUAGGUUAAGUCCUGCAACGAGCGCAACCCCUGUUACUAGUUGCUACCAUUAAGUUGAGGACUCUAGUAAGACUGCCUACGCAAGUAGAGAGGAAGGUGGGGAUGACGUCAAAUCAUCACGGCCCUUACGCCUUGGGCCACACACGUAAUACAAUGGCCGGUACAGAGGGCAGCUACACAGCGAUGUGAUGCAAAUCUCGAAAGCCGGUCUCAGUUCGGAUUGGAGUCUGCAACUCGACUCUAUGAAGCUGGAAUCGCUAGUAAUCGCGCAUCAGCCAUGGCGCGGUGAAUACGUUCCCGGGCCUUGUACA